ensembl:lncRNA
GUGGGCGGGGCUGGGGGCGGGGCCUGCGGCUGACCUGUCACUCACGGUAGGCCCGCGGCCACCGCCCUCACCCCUCCCACGUGGUUAGAGACGGCUGUGCUCGCAGCAAGCGAUUCCACAACUGCGUGUGCGGAUUUCUUACCCGUUAUUGAAUACGAACCUAGUGCUUAAGCGCGAUUCCAGGCGCUGGGGGCACAGUGGCGACCACGACAGUCAAGAUCCCUGCCCUAAUGGAGUUCUCAGGCUGGUGGGGGAAACAAAAUAUAAUAACUGCCAGUUUGUAAGGAGAGCUAAGACGAAAAAAGCAGGGUGAUGGAAAAGAGAAUGCCUGUGUGGUCAGGGAAGGCCUCCCUGAGGAGGUAUGUAAUUCAAAGGAUUUCCUCUAAGGAUUCCAAACUGAGCUCCAACCACGGUCCUUAAACCACCUUUUUGUCUAAAUGGCACAAAGAGAGGAGUCUCUUUCUCCUGAUGACAAGCCAUGAGGGAAGAACCUGCCUGGAAGGAAGCCGUUACAGAAGACAGCAAUGCCGUGACGGAGAGAGACGCUAGAAUCCAGUGAUGCCGUGUGAGCUUCCGGAUCAGGCUAAAGCGAGACAUACCCCUGGAAUGUUACAUGGCAUUAGGAAAAAAAAAAUUCCAUUUUUUUGCUCACUUUCAGUUGGCUUUUCUGUCACGUGCAAUUAAAAUAAUCCUGAAGGAGGCAGGCAUUACUUGAAUCCUUCUAACAGCUCCUCUAACAAGCUCGCUACAAGGUCAGGAGGCCAGAAUUCAGUAAGCUUUUCCCAGUUGAAUGUGCUUGUCCCUCACAUGCGAUAUAUGGUGGUUCUUUCAACGACGUUAAGAAGAAUGUUUUCGGCAUCAUAUUUCAUUUUGUUCUGUACAUUUUUAAAAUAUCAUUAAAUAGUUCUGUUUACAAAGAACGAAA